rnacentral:rRNA from 1 species
UGAACGCUGGCGGCAGGCCUAACACAUGCAAGUCGAACGGGAUCUUCGGAUCUAGUGGCGGACGGGUGAGUAACGCGUGGGAACGUGCCCUUUGGUUCGGAAUAGCCCCGGGAAACUGGGAGUAAUACCGGAUGAGCCCUUCGGGGGAAAGAUUUAUCGCCAAAGGAUCGGCCCGCGUUGGAUUAGGUAGUUGGUGGGGUAAUGGCCUACCAAGCCGACGAUCCAUAGCUGGUUUGAGAGGAUGAUCAGCCACACUGGGACUGAGACACGGCCCAGACUCCUACGGGAGGCAGCAGUGGGGAAUCUUAGACAAUGGGGGAAACCCUGAUCUAGCCAUGCCGCGUGAUCGAUGAAGGCCUUAGGGUUGUAAAGAUCUUUCAGAUGGGAAGAUAAUGACGGUACCAUCAGAAGAAGCCCCGGCUAACUCCGUGCCAGCAGCCGCGGUAAUCU